UGUCCGUCAGUUUAGGGCCAGGCGGCUCUUCCUGCCCCAGGGCCCGUCGCCCUUCCCCGCUACAUCCCGCUCUGCAAGCGCCGAAGAGGAGCUGCAGUCUGGACGCCAGGGUGAAAUCCUGCUGCCGCGGGGCCAAUGCAGGGCGUCAGGUGACUCCGCCGCGGACCCUGCCCUCUGCUCAGCCGGACUGGGCCUCUUCCACGAUUCAGUUGCUGAAAACAGUAUCCACGUGUUUCGGCUCAUUCCCUGGAUGCCACCCAGCGCGCGGUUCCUGGAGAUGACUGAAGAUCUCUGCUGGACCACAGAUGGUACUUGAAGGAAUCUUGAAUGCUAAGCUUAAUGAAGCCUUUUUAAUGACUACAGAAAGCCUACUCACCAAUACACCCAUACAGCUGACACCAGAAGGAAGCAUAUGCCUCUGCAGAGAAGAGAGACUGGAUGAGGCUGAAGAGUUCAGAAGACAAUUAGGCAUUGAAUCAUCAGGUCCUGUUUCACAUCAAGAACGUAAAAUCUUCAUGAAGUCUCUUGUGCGCAUGUAGUCAUUGCCCAUGAAUGUCUGGCGGAGUUCUGAUACAAUUUCUUCUACCCCUGUGCUUAUGGCUUCGUAUGCCACAUGUAGUGGCAUGUGCUCCAGAUUCACAAAACGGAACUCCUCUGUGUACCUCAUGCCCCCAAACCUGGCUACAGACCACUCUUGCCUUCUCACCUGCACCAUAUGUACAUCCACUAAAACAUCCUCUGCUGACUCAGGGGACUGGGGGGAGCUUGAGGGGUCCUCUAACAUGCCUUCUACAUGGAUUCAUUAUCCCAGCUCUCUGACUCUUCAGGUCUUGGUGGUGGGUCAGGCCUGGGAGGCCGGGGAACAUUUGAGGGGCCCCGUAAAGGACUUCCUAAAUCAUAGUCACCAUCUCCCCUCUCUGGCUUGGCUCCAUGGGUCCUGGGGGAGGGUCAGGCCUGCGAGGAGGGGAAGCGAUUGAGGGGCCUUCUAAAGCGCCAUUACUAGGGGAUCUCAUUGUUUUCUCAAUUGGUGUUUAGCCUUCCCCGCACUCGUCUUUAACCAGGCACUUACUUUUUGCCCCGCGAGCCACUUGUUAGUUAGCCACCCAUUAUCAUAGAAUCAUAGAAUCAUAGAAGUAGGGUCGGAAGGGACCUUGUAGAUCUUCAAGUCCAACCCCCUGCCUGGGCAGGAGGAAA